rnacentral:rRNA from 1 species
CUACGGGAGGCAGCAGUGGGGAAUAUUGGACAAUGGGGGAAACCCUGAUCCAGCAAUGCCGCGUGUGUGAAGAAGGCCUGCGGGUUGUAAAGCACUUUCGGUUGGGAGGACUGCUUCUAGCACUAAUAUUGUUGGAAGUUGACGUUACCUUCAGAAGAAGCACCGGCUAACUCCGUGCGCAGCAGCCGCGGUAAUACGGAGGGUGCAAGCGUUUAAUCGGAAUUACUGGGCGUAAAGCGCGCGUAGGCGGCUAGAUCAGUCGGGUGUGAAAGCCCCGGGCUUAACCUGGGAACUGCAUCCGAUACUGUCUAGCUUGAGUACAGGAGAGGAGAGUGGAAUUCCACAUGUAGCGGUGAAAUGCGUAGAUAUGUGGAGGAACACCAAUGGCGAAGGCAGCUCUCUGGCCUGAUACUGACGCUGAGGUGCGAAAGCGUGGGGAGCAAACAGGAUUAGAUACCCCAGUAGUC